CACUGGCGCACGGGUGAGUAACGCGUAGGCAACCUGCCCAUAGGACGGGGAUAAUUCAGCGAAAGCUGGACUAAUACCCGAUGUUGAGACGUCAUCGCAUGGUGGUGUCUUGAAAAGCCCGCAAGGGUGCCGAUGGAUGGGCCUGCGUCCCAUUAGGUAGUUGGUAGGGUAACGGCCUACCAAGCCUGCGAUGGGUAGCUGGUCUGAAAGGAUGAUCAGCCACACUGGAACUGAGACACGGUCCAGACUCCUACGGGAGGCAGCAGUGAGGAAUAUUGCGCAAUGGCCGAAAGGCUGACGCAGCGACGCCGCGUGAGGGAUGAAGUCCGUUAGGAUGUAAACCUCUUUUGCAGGGGAUGAGUGUCUCGCUAUACGCGGGAUUGACCGUACCCUGCGAAUAAGGAUCGGCUAACUACGUGCCAGCAGCCGCGGUAAUACGUAGGAUCCGAGCGUUGUCCGGAAUUACUGGGUGUAAAGGGCGUGUAGGUGGGUUCCUAAGUCGGUGGUGAAAUCCCGCAGCUUAACUGCGGAAUUGCCUUCGAUACUGGGGAUCUUGAGUACGGCAGAGGGAGAUGGAAUUCAUGGUGUAGCGGUGAAAUGUGUAGAUAUCAUGAAGAACACCGGUAGCGAAGGCGGUCUCCUGGUCCGUAACUGACACUGAUGCGCGAAAGCGUGGGGAGCGAACAGGAUUAGAUACCCUGGUAGUCCACGCCUUAAACGAUGGGUACUCGGUGCUGGGCCGCAAGGUUCAGUGCCAAAGCUAACGCAUUAAGUACCCCACCUGGGGAGUACGAUCGCAAGGUUGAAACUCAAAGGAAUUGACGGGGGCCCGCACAAGCAGUGGAGCAUGUGGUUCAAUUCGAUGCAACGCGAAGAACCUUACCUGGGUUUGA
rnacentral:rRNA from 1 species